rnacentral:rRNA from 1 species
UACGGGGGGGGCAAGCGUUGUUCGGAAUUACUGGGCGUAAAGGGCUCGUAGGCGGCCAACUAAGUCAGACGUGAAAUCCCUAGGCUCAACCUAGGAACUGCGUCUGAUACUGGAUGGCUUGAAUCCGGGAGAGGGAUGCAGAAUUCCAGGUGUAGCGGUGAAAUGCGUAGAUAUCAGGAGGAACACCAGCGGCGAAGGCGGCGCUCUGGGCCGGUACUGACACUGAGGAGCGAAAGCGUGGGGAGCAAACAGG